GAGUUUGAUCCUGGCUCAGAUUGAACGCUGGCGGCAUGCCUUACACAUGCAAGUCGAACGGCAGCACGGGAGCUUGCUCCUGGUGGCGAGUGGCGAACGGGUGAGUAAUGCAUCGGAACGUAUCCUGGAGUGGGGGAUAACGUAGCGAAAGUUACGCUAAUACCGCAUAUUCUGUGAGCAGGAAAGCGGGGGACCUUCGGGCCUCGCGCUCUUGGAGCGGCCGAUGUCGGAUUAGCUAGUUGGUGAGGUAAAGGCUCACCAAGGCGACGAUCCGUAGCAGGUCUGAGAGGAUGAUCUGCCACACUGGAACUGAGACACGGUCCAGACUCCUACGGGAGGCAGCAGUGGGGAAUUUUGGACAAGUGGGGGCAACCCUGAUCCAGCCAUGCCGCGUGAGUGAAGAAGGCCUCGG
rnacentral:rRNA from 1 species